GACUUACCAAUUCUCUUAGAUAGCACAUAAGAAUAUCGGCAACACAACCCCUUGGUGUUAUGUUUAAGUUUGCAUUUUUCUCUUUCAGCAUUACCUCCCCUUGGUGUAAGUCUCAAUCGAACCACAGCCUACCAAAACUUAUCUUGAAAGCUAAGGGAUGACUUUGCUAUGCACUCACGUGGGUUUGUAACCCAGGAAGAAUUUCCAUCAUUAGUAAACACUCCACCC
rnacentral:lncRNA from 1 species